UACGAAGGGGCUAGCGUUGCUCGGAAUCACUGGGCGUAAAGGGUGCGUAGGCGGGUCUUUAAGUCAGGGGUGAAAUCCUGGAGCUCAACUCCAGAACUGCCUUUGAUACUGAAGAUCUUGAGUCCGGGAGAGGUGAGUGGAACUGCGAGUGUAGAGGUGAAAUUCGUAGAUAUUCGGCAAGAACACCAGUGGCGAAGGCGGCUCACUGGCCCGGUACUGACGCUGAGGCACGAAAGCGUGGGGAGCAAACAGG
rnacentral:rRNA from 1 species